ACAAAGAACACCAUCAUGCCCGAGCUGACAGAUCCAUGGGAGGGAGAGGAUUGAGGAAGUCUAAGAGAGGAAGCUGUUGAAGUACCAGGUAGUGGACGAAUGCACAGACAAGUGUUUACCCGUGGAGGUUGGGGCAAGAGACUUCCCAGGCCAGUCUCAGUGCAAGGCACUAAGUAUCUUCAGAGGAAAGGGAGCACAGAGGAAUAGGAUAUGUUGCACAAUUGGGCAGAAGGCAGAGAGGACAUCACAAUGGGUGUGGCUGAAGAGGGAGGAGCAGUGGUUAAACCAACCUGGCUCAGAUCAGGCCGGACAGUGUAGUGAGAAGCGCCAAAACACCUAAUGAAGAGGGGACCUUACCUGAGGAUGAGCAGCAUACUCGCUGUCUGCAGAUGGAAAAUGGAGAGUAGGGGACCUCCAUUGUGAUGGGAGACAACACAUCUCUGUGGCUUCGAGCUGCAUGUUGCCCCCUAUUUUGGGAGUUUUUGUCUGUGACCUGCCAGAUACCUGAUGGACAUCACAGGGCCAGUCUAGAACUUUGAGAGGAUUCGAUCACAUCCUUCAAAACAACUUCUUACUUAAUAUGCAUUUUAACACAUAUGUAUUGAAUUAGAUUGGUGACUCAUGGCAAUAAAACAAUAUCAUUUUUAAGCCUA